CUAGAAUUGUCUUGGAAUCAGAAACCUUGAAAAAGGGCAAAAUUGAUGCUUGCAGGUCCCACAUGCUACUAGAAAGGCUCACACUGAGAUGAUCAGGAUGGCUUUUGUGGCGCUAAAUCGAGAGGAAAAGUGGAUCGGCUGGCAACCGAGAAAAGGCCUGGUCUGGUUCUGUUUGAUAGUUUGGACUGAUAUGUAUUUUCUCAGCGUGAGUAUACUCGGGCUCUCAUUGUCAGAGGCAGAGCAAUCAGAAAAAGACGACAGACCCACUGAGAACCGCAGGUAAGCGGGACGCAAUAACCCUCAAAAUAAAGCUUGACGUCCGCACGUCUCCUUUGAAUAUAGAACGGCGACUGGACUCUACUUCAACUCUGUGGAAUGAAACUACAGGGAUAAAGACCCGCUCCCUCAGAAUGCCCAACAAAUUGCGGCAAGUCACAUGUCCGCCGAUCGCCGUCCGCUCAGGCGUAACAAUGGAGGCAGUUUAAACUGGAAUGCUUCAGCUCCAGUCGAGUUUCUUGAGAGUCUGCUGUGUGGAGCGAAGAUUAAUAGGAGAUUCAUUAUAGGAAAGGACAAAUCAUCGUCUAAUUGUUUCAAAGAAAAUGCCACAUCUUCCUGAAU